rnacentral:rRNA from 1 species
UACGGAGGAUGCGAGCGUUAUCCGGAUUUAUUGGGUUUAAAGGGUGCGCAGGCGGCACGGCAAGCCGGCGGUCAAAUCGCGGGGCUCAACCCCGCCCAGCCGUCGGAACUGCCGGGCUAGAGUGGGCGAGAAGUGCGCGGAAUGCGUGGUGUAGCGGUGAAACGCAUAGAUAUCACGCAGAACUCCGAUUGCGAAGGCAGCGCACCGGCGCCCUACUGACGCUCAGGCACGAAAGCGUGGGUAUCGAACAGG